rnacentral:rRNA from 1 species
UACGAAGGGGGGCUAGCGUUGCUCGGAAUCACUGGGCGUAAAGGGUGCGUAGGCGGGUCUUUAAGUCAGGGGUGAAAUCCUGGAGCUCAACUCCAGAACUGCCUUUGAUACUGAAGAUCUUGAGUUCGGGAGAGGGUGAGUGGAACUGCGAGUGUAGAGGUGAAAUUCGUAGAUAUUCGCCAAGAACAUCAGUGGCGAAGGCGGCUCACUGGCCCGAUACUGACGCUGAUGCACGAAAGCGUGGGGAGCAAACAGG